UACGUAGGGGGCGAGCGUUGUCCGGAAUUACUGGGCGUAAAGCGCGCGUAGGCGGCACGGUACGACACCUGUGAAAGCCCCCGGCUCAACUGGGGAGGGUCAGGUGUAACGGCCGAGCUAAGAGUGCAGGAGAGGGAAGUGGAACUCCGGGAGUAGCGGUGAAAUGUGUAGAGACCCGGAGGAACACCAGUGGCGAAGGCGGCUUCCUGGUCUGCGACUGACGCUGAAGCGCGAAAGCUAGGGGAGCAAACGG
rnacentral:rRNA from 1 species